UACAGAGGGUGCGAGCGUUAAUCGGAAUUACUGGGCGUAAAGCGCGCGUAGGCGGCUUUGCAAGUCGGGUGUGAAAUCCCCAGGCUUAACCUGGGAACUGCAUUCGAGACUGCAUUGCUAGAGUAUGGGAGAGGGAAGUGGAAUUUCCGGUGUAGCGGUGAAAUGCGUAGAUAUCAAGAGGAACACCUGAGGUGAAGACGGGUUGCUGGGCUGACACUGACGCUGAGGCGCGAAAGCCAGGGGAGCAAACGGG
rnacentral:rRNA from 1 species